GGUAAUGCCGGAUGCUCCAGUUGAUCGCAUGGUCUUCUGGGAAAGCCUUUGCGGCAUGGGAUGGGGUCGCGUCCUAUCAGCUUGAUGGCGGGGUAACGGCCCACCAUGGCUUCGACGGGUAGCCGGCCUGAGAGGGCGACCGGCCACAUUGGGACUGAGAUACGGCCCAGACUCCUACGGGAGGCAGCAGUGGGGAAUAUUGCACAAUGGGCGCAAGCCUGAUGCAGCGACGCCGCGUGAGGGAUGGAGGCCUUCGGGUUGUAAACCUCUUUUGUUAGGGAGCAAGGCAUUUUGUGUUGAGUGUACCUUUCGAAUAAGCACCGGCUAACUACGUGCCAGCAGCCGCGGUAAUACGUAGGGUGCAAGCGUUAUCCGGAAUUAUUGGGCGUAAAGGGCUCGUAGGCGGUUCGUCGCGUCCGGUGUGAAAGUCCAUCGCUUAACGGUGGAUCCGCGCCGGGUACGGGCGGGCUUGAGUGCGGUAGGGGAGACUGGAAUUCCCGGUGUAACGGUGGAAUGUGUAGAUUCGAAAAAA
rnacentral:rRNA from 1 species